AGCGAACGCUGGCGGCAGGCCUAACACAUGCAAGUCGAACGAACCUUUCGGGGUUAGUGGCGGACGGGUGAGUAACACGUGGGAACGUGCCUUUAGGUUCGGCAUAACUCAGGGAAACUUGUGCUAAUACCGAAUGUGCCCUUCGGGGGAAAGAUUUAUCGCCUUUAGAACGGACUGCGUCUGAUUAGCUAGUUGGUUGAGGUAAUGGCUCACCAAGGCGUCGAUCAGUAGCUGGUCUGAGAGGAUGAUCAGCCACAUUGGGACUGAGACACGGCCCAAACUCCUACGGAAUGCGGCAGUGGGUAAUCUUGCACAAUGGGCGGAAGGCUGACGCAGCCAUGCCGGGUGAAUGAUGAAAGUCUUAGGGUUGUAAAAUUCUUUCACCGGGGACGAUAAUGACGGUACCCAGUGAAGAAGCCCCGGCUAACUUCGUG
rnacentral:rRNA from 1 species